AAAGAAAACAGAAAGGGUUUUUUUGUACAUUAACAUCCUGAAAAAAAUAUAUAGCUUUUUCAGUAUUUUGUUACAUGUGUACAUUACAACCUAAAGAUAAAAGGAUUUGUUAAUUUACAUAUAUUUUCACUGCUGUGUAUUAAUGCUCGCUUCAUGGUGUCAUUGUAGUUUUGCAGAGUCAUUCAGUGGGCUGAAGUGGACCAUCUGGCAGGCUGGUUGUGACCCUAGGCUGCACAUUUGGCACCCCUGCUCUACAGUGAGCAGUCAGUCAGCAGAAAGCAGCAAGGACAACAAGAAGAAAAAAAAGGCCAACAGCUAUCCACCGCUGCAAACACAGGAUCAAAGCUUUCCAGGCAACUGCAAAGACAAAAUGCUAACACAUAGCUAGCAGUGGGCAACCCUGGGACCAGAAUGAUGAAAAGCUCGGUGUAUGCUGACCCCAACCAAGCACCCAAAGCUUGAUUUUCAACAGGCAACAAAUGUAAUGUAUCAAAUGUAACAAAUGUACCUGUUGCUUGUUAAACAGUAGAAUUUUUCAAUCUUGUCUGGUUUGUGGCAAUUCUUAAUCAGUAAAAGAAAGAUGUUGUGAGUGUGUCCUCAUUAGGACAUAGAUUUGGGCAUUGUGUGGGCAUGUAGCCUAAGAAUUAUAUUGUUUACUUAAUAAUUACGUGUCCAUCAGUUUUUAAAAAAAAUAUGUGUACAUAUGAUAUCUAAUCAAUGAUGACCCUGGCUCUAACCCCAAACCAGAGAAGUAAAUUUUAAUUCCGAUACAACUGAUUUAUUGACUGAUCACAUGUAAAAUGAUAGACCAGACAAAUCUAUAGGAAGUGUAUUUUUUUGUUUGUUUCAGGUAUUGGUAGUGUGUUUUAGAUCACUGUUAUCCCAUCAGAUGUUUUCCCGAUGGCAUUGCAUGGUGGACCAAAGUCUGACGGUACUUUUCUGCAGUCAUAAUUAGAUCAGUUUUGAAAGAUAACCAACACCACUGCCUGAAAUACAGCUCCACAUCAUAACAAAGUCUCCACUGUGUUUUACAAAUGGGCAUUCUCCUGAUCACUGACAAUGAUUGGAACCAAAAACUUUAAAUUUGGAUUCAUUACUCCAUAAGAUCAUUUAUAGAAUUGGACUGGAAAGUGUAGUUGAAUGCUAUCAAAGGGAGAGAAAGUAAUUAUAACUGAGGGGAUUGCAGUACCACAAGGCAACAUGGCAGACAUCGAGGGUAGAUACAUGUACCUUGGAAUCUACCAGUCAAAUGGGAACCAUGAAGAGGCCACUAGGAAAGCUGCGAACUGAAUAUGAAUAACAAUAUCAGGGCAAUCAACACCUACACCCUUGCUGACUGUCAGGAUAAUAAGCUGGCCAGAGGAGGAGAGCCGCUAACA
rnacentral:lncRNA from 1 species